ACUCUGCCCAGUCACUGUAUUUAGAGGUAGUGCUAAAGGUGACCUGUAAAAGAUUUUUAAUAUCCUUUUUUGCUUCUUUAUGCUGUUUUUAGCAGGAGAAACUGAGCAGUUAGGACAAGAAUUCAAGAUGAAAGGUUGCCUUUAAGGUCCCUGACUCUGGGGUGUACACUGGAUACCGGGCAUUGCUGGAGUCUUGGUGUUUUCUGUCUACUCUGAGAUGGGAGAUUCCUCCUCACACCAGCUGCAUUCGUGAUUUAGCCCAAGCACAGGCUCCCAAAGGCCUAAAAUUCCCUAAAGUAAAAAAGAUCACAAAGUGACAGCUUCAUAAGGCAGAACAAACCCCAUAAAAAUAUAAAAGUAAAUGUUGUUUUUAAAGAGAGACCAUCAACCUGAGAAAGGAAUAUGAAGAAGACACUAAGAAUAUUGAUAGAGAACAGGGACAGCAGUGCCAGCUGUACUCAUCUUGCCUGCAAACCCCAGCAUCAAGUGAUACAGAGAGGAAACCUGAUUUGCUUGGACUGCAAACCUCUUGUUGUGCUUGGUUUUGUUUGUUUUUUUGGAACACUGAGAUGCAGAAUAAGAAUGUGAAGAAGAGCACAUGGUAUCCCAGUGCAAAAUCCAUUUAUAUUUUCUUAUUGUUCCCUCAUUCACAGCCUUAUGAGUAUUUAGGAGUGCUGGAAAUCAUCUGAAGGUCAAAUGAUUUUGGAGAGUUGCUGCUGCCUGUUAAAACCGGCCUUUUAUCCAAAAUGCUUCAGGGGAGAACCUAAGCAGGGAGCUCCUCGUGCUCUGUCCCAGCCCAUGUCUCUCCAUAACAGUGUUCAGUGGCUCAGUGGCCAAGUUUAAUUAGCAGGGAAGCUGCAUUUGAACCAUUCUGCUCGGGGGGACUGAUGUCACCCCUGUCAGUGAGAAUUACUGAGAGGAGCUUCCGACAGGGCAAGGAGGGGGUGGGGAAACUCAUGGCUGUGACUGUUAACAAAAUCCAAGGCAGAUGGCACCCUGACUUCAAAGGAUGAUGUGGGUUCAAGGCCUGCCAAAAGUGCUGUCACUGCAUUUUUGCCACCAGCCUGGCACAAGAGCUGGGAGUCCUGUCCCACCAGCCCCUACAAACAACUAGGGAACAACAUCUGUGUCUUCUCUGGGCUCCUGGAGGGGGAUUCUAUCUUUGAUCUCUUUGCACUGAAUACCACACUCUUGUAUAAUAUUUCCCACAAAUACAAAUCCAAGUAUUUUUUUCCUAGACAGGCAAUAAAUAUUUAUCUACCUUGCUU